AUACGGAGGGGGUUAGCGUUGUUCGGAAUUACUGGGCGUAAAGCGCACGUAGGCGGAUUGGAAAGUUGGGGGUGAAAUCCCAGGGCUUAACCCUGGAACUGCCUUUAAAACUAGUAGUCUAGAGUUCGAGAGAGGUGAGUGGAAUUCCAAGUGUAGAGGUGAAAUUCGUAGAUAUUUGGAGGAACACCAGUGGCGAAGGCGGCUCACUGGCUCGAUACUGACGCUGAGGUGCGAAGGCGUGGGUAGCGAACAGGAUUAGAAACCCGGGUAGUCC
rnacentral:rRNA from 1 species